rnacentral:rRNA from 1 species
UACGGAGGGGGCCAGCGUUGUUCGGAAUUACUGGGCGUAAAGCGCGCGUAGGCGGCUUUUCAAGUCGGAUGUGAAAUCCCCGGGCUUAACCUGGGAACUGCAUUCGAGACUGUCUAGCUAGAGUAUGGGAGAGGGAAGUGGAAUUUCAGGUGUAGCGGUGAAAUGCGUAGAUAUCUGAAGGAACAUCAGUGGCGAAAGCGACUUCCUGGACCAAUACUGACGCUCAUGUGCGAAAGCGUGGGGAGCAAACAGG